ensembl:lncRNA
AAUGAAAUGCAAUGGAAUCCAAAGCAAUGGAACACAAUGCAACCCUAACCCAACGCAAAGCAAGGGAACACAACCCUCACCAAAUGCAAAGCAAUACAAUGGAACACAGUGAAAUCCAAAGCAAAGCAGUGGAACACAGCACAUCUCUAACCCAACGCAACGUGACAAAAUGAAAUGCAAUGGAAUCCAAAGCAGUGGAACACAACCCUAGCCCAAUGCAAAGCAGUGGAACACAACACAACCCAAACACAGUGGCGCACAGGGAAAUUAAAUGCGACGUGUGCUGCUGGUAUCCUUCUUGGUGUUGUUCACGUGGCCGCUGCAGCCUGGCCCUUCAGCCUGGGAUCCUGAACUGCUGCCGUGGGAAUUUCCCCAUCUCCAUUCAGCACAAAUGAGCCAGAUGACUGCAUGUGAUUCCAACACAGGUUACCUCCUCAGAGUGGAAACAUGCAGGCACUUAUUUUGUCUUAUUUCUCGUGUGUGAUGGGAAACGCUACCAGGAGACAGAAAAGCAGAGGUGCUCAACCACAGCACGGUGGAGGCACCUGCUCUGCAGUGCUUCAAUUGCCCUUUUCUCUGGCAUCCUCCCCUGCUGUGUCCUCUCUGCUCAACGCCACCUCUGUGUUCUCCCCUACAACUCCAUUGAUCUUGUGCAUUCACAGCCCUACUUUGAUUAAUCUGAUCCAUUCAGCCCUUUAUUCCCCAGUGGAAACCAUACCCAGGAGUUAAAAUAAACCUCACAAAUCGGAGGCAAUAAUUCGGGUGACAAAAAUUAGGAAGAACCCUCAUUAGGGAGAAAACAGUUGGAAGAGGGGCACAACGAGAAGGUCUCUGCGCUCCCUGCAGGAAACUUUCUUCCUAAAGUGCCGAGUGGGGGCGGUGGGCUCAGCCUUUGCUCAUGAAAUUAAUUAUGAUAAAUUAAAAGUGCCAAAGAUGAGAUGCUGCUCCCCGGGUCGCAGUGUUGGCUGUGGAGGAUGAAGGACUGCACAAAUGAGGGGGGUGAAGGCUCCAUCUGGCUCAGCACCCCAUCGACAGCCGCCCUCAAUGAGCCGGGCUGGGUUUGCUGCAGCCACUGUGUGCAGCCCGCGGUGCUGCUGUGCCAAAGAGCCGCCCGGCCCACAGCACGGAGCCCUUUUCCAGCAGUCCCUCCUCAUUUCCAGUCCUGCAGUGCUUUCCGGGCUGGAGGGCGGCCUCUGGACUCCAAAGGCAAUGACAUCACGCUGAAGCCAUCAAGCAUGUGAUUUCCCAGCCCUGAAACGAAAGCUGCCUCUCCAGGGGAGGAAGAGACGCUGUGCAUGAGCAGCUCCCUCUGCCCCGCAGUGUGUUUGAGCCACAAACAGUGCGGGAUAACGGAGCCAAGAGAGGAAUCCUGCCAGGAACUCCCAUCCCGGCUUUGGGACGGUCUCAGUCCCCCACCCCAUGGGUACAAUGGGACACGCAGAGCACAGCCGGGAGCUGCGCUUCCUGGCACCCCCACACUGCUCCUUCCUGACAGCUCUGCUCGGUUCCUUGGCAGCUGCCUCCAUUGGAAUGCUGGUGGGACGCCUGUGGGUUCUGGAAGCGCUGGGUGAGGUGCAGCCCGUGGCAUCAUACAGCCUUGGCACCAUGCAGCCCGUGGCACAGUGCAGCCAUGGCACAGUGCAGCCAUGGCACAGUGCACCCAUGGCACAGUGCAGCCCAUGGCACAGUGCAGCCAUGGCACAGUGCAGCCCAUGGCACCAUGCAGCCCAUGGCACAGUGAAGCCAUUGGCACUGCCAUGCAGAGCCGCAGCUCACCACACUGCUGGUGCUCAUGGAUGAGUUGUUGGAAGUGUCCCAGCCCGGCCAUGUGUCUGCUGUGGGAUCUCUCAUCCUGCAAACACUGCUCUGUUUCGUUUCUUCCACAUCUCACACCAUGGGCUUGCUUGCCCAUUUGCUGAGAGCCGGGCACAGCCCUGCACAGUGGCUGGGGGAUGGACAGCGUCUCCAUGGGGUUUUUGGCCAACAGUGAGCAGAAAACCCAUGGCAGAACCACCAAACCUCAGAACCAUGGAAUCAUCCACGCUGGAGAAGGCCUUCAGGAUCACCAACCAAGUCCAGCGCUCAGCCGGAGCUCUCGGGUCCCAUCACUACACCACAUCCCUAAGGGCCAUGUCCACAUGGUGGGGAUACCACCGCCCCGCUGGGCAGCCCGGACUGACCCCGCAUUGCCCUCUCCAUACAGAAAUCCCUUCUGACACCCAACCUAAGCCGGCUGCCCAUCAGCACCCCAGGUCCUUUCCCACCGGGCACCUCUCCAUCCGCUCCUCCCAAGGCCAUGUGUUUGUUGGGACCCAAGAGCAGGGCGCAGUGCUCACCCUCACUGUGUGCCAUGCAGUUGGGCUUGGCCCAUUGACGCAGCCUACACAGAUCCCUCUGCCACGUGUGGCUGUGUCCAGGAGCUGUGCUGUGUAAUUCAGAACUGCUCACACUUCACAUGGCGCUUCAGCCCAAUGGGUCACCUCUGGAGCCAUCUGUGUGACACAGGACCACCCCCAAUUAACUUCUGCUUAAGAAGACCACGUCUGGCCCUAUUUCAGAGCCUGCCAACUCCCGAACAAGUGGCUCCAGCAAUUAAUUGCGUACUUCUCUGAGCACUCCCCUCUUGCUCACCCCUGGAAGUUCGUGUAGAGAUGUUUCUUCGUUGCUAAUCUGGAUGAACAUUCUCUGGGCGUUGGGAGAUAGCCAUAGUGCAGCUUCUUCAGCAUUUCGCUGCCCCUCAGGUGCCCACCGUGAGCUGAGACACACAGCUGGGAGCUGCAUCACUCUGCAGCUGUGCUGGCAUCCAGCUGUGCUGCCCUCACACCCAGCUGUGCCAUGCUGGCAUCCAGCUGUGCUGCUCUGCAGCUGCCCUCCCAGCUCUCACGGUGCCCUCAUGGGGAAAGGUGAGUCUGCAGUGCUCCAACACAUCCCUCCGCAUGGGAACGUCUGAGGAAGAUGAGGAAGAAGAAAUGGAGCGCCAUUGCAGCUCACUGGGAGUAAAAGUCACGCGUUUCAGAGGAGACCGGGCAGGUGAUUAAUUACAAUCAGAGAAUCACUAGGGUUGGAAAAGACCAAAACCCCAAAGUUCAACCCCAGCGCGCCCCCACUGAGCGCAUCCCUCUGCUUUAACACCGUUCCCCUCCUCCCAGCCUCAGCCAUGCUGCAGAUCAAAGCAUUCCCGUCGCUCUCCGCCCUUCAGCCUCUCGCUGCCGGAUUUCGGACACGCAGUCUGGAAGCCCACAGCCCGACCUGCGGAGCCACAGCUGUGUUCUGCAGCUCUGUGCUUCCACGUCGUGCAACGCAACCUGCAGCGCUCCGCCCUCAGCGCUGCUGCUAACCGAGGGCCCUUUGCACUGCCGGCUGCUGUGUCAAUAUUUGGCCAAGUGGGUGUGUGUGUGUGUGUGUGUGUGUGUGUGUGUGCAAGGAGCGGGAGCUUCGUUUGCACCUUGCUAAUUAAGCACCUGCAGCAACAUAGCAUGGAAAUGCACCCGAGGGCCCCCCUGGAAGGGUGAAAGCAAUU